AGAGAGAGACAUGCGCGCAUAUCAAUAAGCGGAGGAAAAGAAACUAACAAGGAUUCCCUUAGUAACGGCGAGUGAAGCGGGAAGAGCUCAAAUUUGAAAUCUUCAAGGUUCUACCUUGACGAAUUGUAGUUUAUAGAAGUGUUUUCUGUUAGUGGAGUGGCAAAAGUUCUUUGGAAUAGGACAUCAUAGAGGGUGAGAAUCCCGUAUUUGGUCAUUCCUCCUAGCGUUGUGAUACACUUUCAACGAGUCGGAUUGUUUGGGAAUGCAGUCCAAAAUGGGUGGUAAAUUUCAUCUAAAGCUAAAUAUUGGCGAGAGACCGAUAGCGAACAAGUACCGUGAGGGAAAGAUGAAAAGAACUUUGAAAAGAGAGUUAAACAGUACGUGAAAUUGUCAAAAGGGAAGCGUUUGACACCAGUGUUGUUUUUCCGAAAAUCAAUUACGAAUGUUUUAUUUUUGAGGAGUUAUGACUUCAUCGGCUUGCUCCUUUCUUUAUGAAACUUUCUUAAUGCACUUUUCGGUUAACAAGUCAACAUCAAUUUCUUUUGUUGUAAAAGGGUAUGAGGAAGGUGGCUUUCUUUUCGGAGAAAGUGUUUAUAGCCUUGUGCCUCUGCAAUCGGAGAGAUUGAGGUCUGCAGCGUAGAUCCUUCGGGGUUAGAUACGUUUGUGCUAAGUUAUAGCUUCUCAUAGACAACUUGUUGACUAUGAUUAGUCAUUGUAGCUUACUCGCUGACGCUAUUUUACCUACGCUUAGGAUGUUGAUAGUCACAGCGUGUAC
rnacentral:rRNA from 1 species